CGACUACGAGUUUGAUCCUGGCUCAGAUUGAACGCUGGCGGCAUGCUUUACACAUGCAAGUCGAACGGUAACAGGUCUUCGGAUGCUGACGAGUGGCGAACGGGUGAGUAAUGUAUCGGAACGUGCCCAGUAGUGGGGGAUAACUACUCGAAAGAGUGGCUAAUACCGCAUGAGAACUGAGGUUGAAAGCGGGGGACCUUCGGGCCUCGCGCUACUGGAGCGGCCGAUAUCAGAUUAGGUAGUUGGUGGGGUAAAGGCCUACCAAGCCGACGAUCUGUAGCUGGUCUGAGAGGACGACCAGCCACACUGGGACUGAGACACGGCCCAGACUCCUACGGGAGGCAGCAGUGGGGAAUUUUGGACAAUGGACGCAAGUCUGAUCCAGCAAUGCCGCGUGCAGGACGAAGGCCUUCGGGUUGUAAACUGCUUUUGUACAGAACGAAAAGGUUUCCUCUAAUACAGGAGGCUUAUGACGGUACUGUAAGAAUAAGCACCGGCUAACUACGUG
rnacentral:rRNA from 1 species